rnacentral:rRNA from 1 species
UACGAGGGGGGCGAGCGUUGUUCGGAAUUAUUGGGCGUAAAGAGCGCGUAGGCGGUCCGGUAAGUCCGCUCUGAAAGCCCGGGGCUCAACCCCGGGAGGCGGGCGGAUACUGUCGGGCUAGAGUCCGGAAGAGGCAAGUGGAAUUCCUGGUGUAGCGGUGAAAUGCGCAGAUAUCAGGAGGAACACCGAUGGCGAAGGCAGCUCGCUGGGACGGUACUGACGCUGAGGCGCGAAAGCGUGGGGUAGCAAACAGG